GGCGCUGUGGCUUAGCUGGUCAAAGCACCUGUCUUGUAAACGGGAGAUCAUGGGCUCAAAUCUCAGCAGCGCCU
rfam:Danio rerio chromosome 4, GRCz11 reference primary assembly.